GACAGUUCUCAGGUGAUGCAACCUGGAAUCGGGCUCCCUCCUCUCUGGUUCUGGGAGGUGUCGCCCAAAAACUGUA
rfam:Myotis davidii contig228950, whole genome shotgun sequence.